rnacentral:rRNA from 1 species
UUGCCAGACUCCUACGGGAGGCAGCAGUGGGGGAUAUUGCACAAUGGGGGGAACCCUGAUGCAGCGACGCCGCGUGGGUGAAGGAGUGCUUCGGCAUGUAAAGCCCUAUCGGCAGGGAAGAAGCAAGACGGUACCUGACUAAGAAGCCCCGGCUAACUCCGUGCCAGCAGCCGCGGUAAUACGGAGGAUGCGAGCGUUAUCCGGAUUUAUUGGGUUUAAAGGGUGCGUAGGCGGGCUUUUAAGUCAGCGGUAAAAAUUCGGGGCUCAACCCCGUCCGGCCGUUGAAACUGGGGGCCUUGAGUGGGCGAGAAGAAGGCGGAAUGCGUGGUGUAGCGGUGAAAUGCAUAGAUAUCACGCAGAACUCCGAUUGCGAAGGCAGCGCACCGGCGCCCUACUGACGCUCAGGCACGAAAGCGUGGGUAUCGAACAGGAUUAGAUACCCGGGUA